GGAAACGUAACAGGAAACCGGAAGUAGGAAGUGUUGCCGUUUGUUUUCGUCGGAAGCACGCCUCAGUUUACCUAAGUGGCAGAGGAAGCCAAACACCACCAUGACAGUGGCCGGCGUCAGAAUGGUCCCAAAAACCAGCGCAGCAAGGCCAGCGUUGAUUGCGGCAAUCACCAGGUUCUGAGCUGUCACCAACACCGAGCAGGCCCAGCAGUCCAGGGACCCCCGCAGCUCCAGCGGAGUGUCGCUGCUCCCGCCGCCAUUUUCAGCUGCACAGUAGGGAGGAGGAGUUUUGGUUAUGGCUAAGGAAAGGAGCUCUGUCACCGGGAGCCGGAGGAUGACGCCUGGUGCGUGUGGAAGAAGACGUGUCUUUGAUGGGAGCCACCAGUUGGUCCCGCAGGAUCUGGAUGUGCUUCAUGGACUGCAGCAGGCAGUGUCUGGAAGGAGGGUAAGCAGACCCGUCAAAGUGUGAUACUGUAGUCAACGUUAGCAUGUUUCAUUGGGAAGUUGGUAGAACUUUGCGGUGCUUGAUCCUGGUCCUCAGAGAAUCCUAACCUGGAUGUUUCCUCUCUCUUACUGAUUAUAGAGAGAGAAAAUGUCCAGUUUAGGAUUCUCUGAGCUGUAUUCUGAAUGACUUCCUGAUCAAACAUGUCAGUAAUGGUGAGACUCUUAGAGGACGCCUCACUGGAAGUGUCACUUCAUUUUUUGUGAAGUUGUCCGUCCUCUGAUACGUAAGAGAUGAUUCCAGCAGCAUUACACUGUAUGUUGGCAUCAAACUGCAGAAAAAAGAAAAUUUAAAAGCUUUUGUCACUCAUUUAAUCCCGGUUGUGGCCCUGUGACAGACUGGUGUCCUGUCCAGGGUGGACCCCGCCUCGCACCCUAUGACCGCUGGGAUGGGCUCCAGCACCCCCUUAAUUGGAGUAAGUGGGUAUAGAAAGUGGAUUAUCCACAAUUGGCAGCUAAUGAUCAAAAUAAGUUAAUAUUAAUCUCUUAUGUAUCAGAGGAUGAUACAGUCAGGUCCAUAAGUAUUUGGACAGCAGGAAUUCUUUUAGCUUUGCCUCUCAACAUCAUCACAGCGGCAUUGAAGACAAGAUGUGCUUGUAAUGUGGACUUUUAGCUGUGAUUCAAGGGGUUUAAUCAAAAAAUGCUGCAUUGACCAACACAACUGUGACUGGAGCCAUGGAAAAACAUCAUGGGUGGCUUCCCUCACUCGUCUUCUUCCUGCACGGUCAUUGUGAGCCGUCUACUCCAGACAGAAGACUGAUGUAAAUUAAGUUCAAGAAAUAUUAUCUAAAGCAGGGGUUCUCAAGGACCCCUGAACCUGUGCGUUGUCCAUCUCUUCCUGCCCUGCCACAAGCUGAUUUGCUAAUUCAGGUGUGCAGGUUCAGGGGUCCUUGGGGACUGGAUUGAGAACCCCCGAUCUAAAGAAAACUGGCUGUAAAAGUGAUAACUUGUCCAACUUAUACCAGUGGUG